GGAGAACCCGUCGGAAACCAAAAUAAACAAAUAAACAGGAGGCGAGGCUGGGCCUCGGCCUCUUGUUGGGGGUAGAAAAUUCCAUUGACACGCGCGCACACGCGAGGAAUUCAGAGGAAAUGAAAUCUUGCUAUUUCAGUGGAACCCAUUGUACUCGCGUAACUCGGCCCAUAACUCACCAGAAAUUCAUUGACUCGGGAUUUAAUUACGGGUUUGUUGCCAUUGGAAAGAAGACGCAGAUGUGAGAAUUUAUCCUUUAUUUUCCAUCUUAAUUAGAAUCAGGCAAUUACCAUCUUUAUUGACAGCUUACAUUAUUUCAGCUAAAGACGAAAUGUUAAACGCCAUUUUGGAUAUUAGGGUUCUCUGAUUUUGUUCAACUAUGUAGUGUUGUGCAUUUCAUUCUUUGUAAUUUUCGAAAGAACUAUGGGAAGAGAAAUUAANNN
rnacentral:lncRNA from 1 species